rfam:Botryotinia fuckeliana T4 unplaced genomic scaffold BcT4_SuperContig_N_V3_B__V4, whole genome shotgun sequence.
GCGUUUGUGGUUUAGUGGUAAAAUCCAUCGUUGCCAUCAAUAUUCUUCUUCUCACUUGAGAGCUAGCGUUGAAACAACCUCGAUGGGCCCCGGGUUCGAUUCCCGGCGAACGCA